rnacentral:tRNA from 1 species
AGCCCUGUUUCUCAAUGGUUAGAGCAUCGGCCUGCAUACCCGAAGGGUCACAGGUUCAAUUCCUGGUCAGGGGGA